GCCUUGCCGGCCACACACAGAGAGCUUUUUCGAGGGGUGUUAAAGAACGACGACGUUCCGCGCCGAGCGGGGGGCAAAGCCGAGAGAGACUCCGAUUUUUGCUCGAUUCUUCGUCGCCGUCGCAAGUGUGUGCCGCGCGCGGACCGAACUUAAUUUACUACGCGGAGCUGUUGUGUACACAGUGCGUAAAGAGCUCUGUCAUCGUAAGAAGCUCUACGCGCGAGGCGUUUUUUUUUCUAUUAUCAUUAAUUUUUUUUUUCGAUAAAUCGCGCGUGUGCGGGAAGGAGAGAGCUUGCACGCGCGUACCUACGCAUAAAAAUAAGCAACGUACACGCGCGUGUAUGCAUGCCUGCUGCGAUAGGACGUGAUGGUGAUGUGCAGUGCAGCAGCAGCAGCAGCAGCAGCCGCACGUAUCAAUGAUAAAAAGCGAAAAAUUGAUGAACGUUUUCGAAUAAUAGGACGAUGCAAGUGAAAUAGAGGAUUUGGUUCGCAACGUUACCCCGCUGAAAGGGCAUUAUAAGUGCAUGUGCGUCGUCGUGUCGAUCGUGUGUCGAUCGUCGUCGUCGUCGUCGUCGUCGUCGUCGUCGUGUGGUGUCGUCGUAGCCGCGCGUUUCCCCCCCGCGCGAGUGCAGUGAGCAGUGCAGAACCCGCCUGCUGUAGUAUAUAUACAUAUACAGUCAAAGAGAGAGAGAGAAAGAGACUGCACCGGAUCUGCACUCAGCAGCAGCAGCGAAGAAAUCGCUCGCAGUACUGCAGCGGUACAGAUAGCGAUCCUCCCCCGGUCUCUUCUCGAUUUUCGCGCGCUGCGCAACUGCAGCUUUUGUUACAUUUAUAAAUAAUAAUAUAAAUCGAUGUAAAAAUAAGUGCGUCGGUGCUCGUGCGGUGUGCGGCUCUUCGAGUGCAAAGAGACUGAUCGAGAGACGAAAUCGUGUUCUCAGCGCAGUCGGUUCAGCCAGUCAGUGUGUGUUUUAUAUAUAUAUCUAUAAAAUAUAUCGGAGCGCGCGGCCGCGAGUCAGACAGACAGCUACGUCGCGCAGCGGAAAAUUCCAAAGUUGGCGCGCUAUCGCAAGCAGCAGCAGCAGCAGCAGCAACAGAAAGAGUCAAGUCCGUCGUCGUCGCGCUAUAAUACAACGCAGCAGCAGCAGCAGCAGCAGCAGAUAUAAUACGCACACACACACACAUUCGGACGACUUUGAGUUACAUCGCAGAGUUGCUCGGCGCGCCGAUCUGCCAUACUCACAUACACAUGCAUGAAUUAUAUAUACGUAUAUAAAGCAGAUCUCUCUCUCUCUCCGUGAGCGAGUGAGUGUUUCGCAUACCAGUAAAAGUGCUCCGUAUAUAUAACUACUGCGUGUGUCAAGCCUCGCAUGCUUAUAUACAAAUACUCACGUAUUACUACUACGCUGCUCUAACGUUAUAGCAGUGUGUUUGCACUCGGACUGUGCGUGUGUGUGUCGGUGCGUGUGUGUAAGCGCGUCCACAUAAAUACAUACAUACGUACGUACGUACACGAGCUGUGCCUCGCUGUGCUCCGCUGCAGAGCAAAAGAGAGAGAAAGAGAAUUCGCCUCGAGCACGCUACUAUACGGAGGAGAGGAGAGGAGCGGCUAGUCCGUUUCUCUCUCUUUCGUUUUUUUUGCUCUCUCUCUCUCUGAAGACUGCGAGACCAGUAGUAUCGUGCGUGUGUGCGCGUGGUGGAUCGUGCAUAUAUCCGUGUGUCCGUGUGCCUUAUAUAUAUAUACAUACAUAUAGCUCGGCCGCUGCCGCCGACGACGCUCCAAUUUUUGCGCCGCGCGAUAAGCGCAGCGAAACAAGCCGCGCGAGUGUUGCAAAGUGAGUGUGUAUAUAUACGAGUCAGUGUUGUACGAUUUCGGCACGAAGAUAGGCCGAAGGCACGAGGAGGAGCAGCCGCCACAGCAGCAGCUGGAGUGGUGGCCGCCGCGACCUCACGACAACAGUAGCAGCAGCAGCAGCGGCAGUCCACCCUCCAACAGCGGCCUCACCAUUGCCGCCCAAGCCAUGGAUUUCGAGACCGGACUGAUGGAUUCGGUCAUACCGUUCGACUGCGACGGCGACUUCGGGCCGCAGCAGAGGGCCAGGUCGAACACGUGGCCCUGCCCGAGGCCCGACAGUUUCAUCGAGCCCGGCCAGGUCGGGCCGCCGAUCAAGGACGUCAUGCCCGGCGAGGCCGGGGCUCAGGCCGGUGCUCAAGCCGGAGCCACGGGACCGCUCACCCCCGGUGGCAGUGUCGCCGGUGGUGCUUCGGCCGCCUCCGCCGCCGCCGCCGGUCCAUCCGGUCUCAUACCGAUCAAGAAGAACAGCUCGCGUCGCAACGCCUGGGGCAAUCUCAGCUACGCCGAUCUCAUAACGCAGGCGAUCAGCUCGGCGCCGGACAAGCGCCUGACCCUGUCGCAGAUCUACGAGUGGAUGGUGCAGAACGUGGCCUACUUCAAGGACAAGGGCGACAGCAACAGCAGCGCCGGCUGGAAGAACUCGAUCCGGCACAAUCUCUCGCUGCACAAUCGCUUCAUGAGGGUGCAGAACGAGGGCACGGGCAAGAGCUCCUGGUGGAUGAUCAAUCCGGACGCGAAGCCGGGCAAGUCGGCGCGCCGACGAGCCACCUCCAUGGAGACGAGCAAGUUCGAGAAGCGACGCGGCCGCGCCAAGAAGAAGGUCGAGGCCAUACGCAACGGCAGCGUGGGCUCGAGCAAUCUGCAGGCAGCGGCGGCCAGGGCCGCGGCGUCGGCGGCCGCCGCGGCAUCCUCGAUCGCGGGAGGAGCGGCGGGAGGCAGCGGCGGCAUCAACGUGAGCAGCGGCGCCGACGAGGAUCCGAGUCCGCACAGCAGCGCCAGCGAGGGAUUGGACGUGUUUCCCGACAGUCCGUUACAGACCACUUUUCAACUGUCGCCAGAUUUCCGGCCGCGCGCUUCGAGCAACGCCUCGUCGUGCAGCCGACUGAGUCCCAUUCCGGCGGUGAUCAGCGAGACCGACUGGCAGCCGAAUUACACGUCGUCCUACAGUCCGGCCGAGGCGCUUGCCGGCAAUCUGGCCGAGUCGAUGAACAUCGCCUCGGGCGCCUACCAGAUGUACCAGACCUCGCCGCCUUCCACGAGCUCGGCUCAGCAGCAAUCGACGCAACAGCAGCAGCAGCAGCAAACGCAGCAGCAGCAGCAACAGUCACAAACUCAAACUGCGCAGACGAGUCAGCAACAACAGCAACAGCAGCAACAGACGCAGCAGCAGCAGCAGCAGCAACAGAGCCAGCAACAGUCGAACGGCCAGACCGGACCGCCGCCGUCGUACUUCGAGGCGCAGUUCCAGAGGAACAACGGCGCGAGUCUGUGCAACAGUCCGACGGCUUAUCACCUACCGCCCACGCCCCAGUCGACCAGUCAGCAGCCCAGGUGUCCGAUACAUCAUCUGCAGCCUUGCAGCUGUCAAAUGCAAUCGAACAUGAACCUCGUUUCCUCGUACCAGCAAAACGACGCCGUCUCGACUCCAGUCAGUCAAGCCCAAACUGCGGCGAUUCAGCAAUACUUGAUGCAGCGACAGCAGCAACAAGUCGAGCAGCAGCAGCAAGUACAGUCGCCGAGUCAACAACAGUCACAGCAGCAGCAGCAGCAGCAACAAGCGCAAACGAAUCAGGCGCAGCAGCAGCAGAUCACGCCACCGGACUCGCCGAUACCGAGCACGAUGAUGGGCCAGCUGAUGGGCGCACUGAACAACUCUAGCAUCCUGGACGACCUGAACAUCAACAUCGAGAAUCUGCAGGGCUUCGACUGCGACAUCGACGAGGUCAUCAAUCACGAGCUCCAGCUCACGGGCAAGCUGGAUUUCGGCCCCGUGGGCCUCGGUCCGUUCCUGGGCAACGGCCCCGCGACCGGCAACGGCAUCCCGGAGACCGGCGAGGCGAGCUUGGAACAAUUGGCCGCCGAAGCCCUGCAGCAUCAUCAUCUGACGACGGCGGAUCUGCUCCAGCAGAACGGCAUGAUCGUGACCACGCAAGCUCAGCAGCAACAGAACCUCGUUCAGCAGCAGCAGCAGCAGCAGCAGCAACAGAUGCAGGUGGGUAGCAACGCGGCAGCCGCGGCGGCCGUGUACGCCUCGAGCCAGGCGGCGACCCCUGCGACGGCCAGCGCCGCGGCCGCCUCGCCCUCCUGGGUUCACUAGCACUGGGUGCCCCUGCCCUCGACGCCACCGCAGCUGUCGAGCGAGCAGCCCAGGACUUACCAGGACUUGGCUAGAAUCAGGCUCUCCGAUGAACAGCCGAUGGUGCGGGGGCCACAAUUUGUGAUAAGAAAUCGAACGAGCCGCGACAACAGAUUGAGCCGCCAGCGCUACACGUACAACUACAGCAGGAAUCUACGCUGAUGACGACGACGUAGACGUAGACGACGAUAUCACGCGCCAAAAAAGAAGAAGAAGAAGGAAUAGCAAGCAGCAUCGUCACGCACACGGGGAGCAGCGGACACAUUCAUUUGUGCAGAGAGAAGGGCAGCAUCACGAUCAGCUGUGGCGCGAGACGAGAAGCCUACUUUCGGGCGCUUCGCUCGCCUCGCAAGCUCUGCUGCUGCGGCUGCUGCUCUCUUCCCCCAUGUACACAUGCGAGUACGAACGUGUAUCAUACGUAAGCUCGAGCCAAAUUAUAAUACAUAUUAUGUGAGUGGAGUAGCGCGUCGUGUAUCCGUACGAUGUCGCACCGCUGCUGACUUGGCUAUCGUCUCGUACUCCAACCCGAUGAUACGCCGAAUACGAUUUCAUUUGGACGACGAUGCCCUACAUCAUCGCACAGAUGAUGGGCCGCUGCUGCUCCGCGAGGAGGGUGCGUGCGUGUCUGUGUUGCGUUCGUAGCUUUUUCGUGUGUGUAUGUGUGUGUAGUAUAGGCGCGCUUUUUUUCUGUUCGUCGACUCUGUUCACACUACGUAGGAAUUAUUUAAUGCUAUUUAGGUCGUAUACUCUGAAUAUAUGUUACGUUAUGUUAUUAUAGACAUAUUAUAGAUUACCUGAAUUAUGUUGAAUCGUGCAAACUACUAUUAUUAUAUUUUAUGUUUAUUGAUUAUUGCCUAAUUUUUUAGAUAUCGUCUACCUAUUACCUAUAGUGUAUCUUAUACAUUAUAUUAUUGCCUUUUUUUCAUUGUUGUUGAUGAAAUCGUUAUCGCAUAGCAAUAUUUACAUUUAGACAUGUAAGCAUUGAUUUACAUUAUUAAGUUUACAAUCAUGCUCCUUAUUAAUUGAGAUUCUAUAUAUAUUAUGGUUUAAGAUAAUCAUUAAUACCAUGUUACUAUAUAUUGUAAAAGCAGUUACGUUUCGUCGUGCACUCGAGAAACGAGAUGAGUUAUCUUUCGUUCGAACGCGCGUUGUUUGCCGUUGUACAAUCGACACAACCGGUCAUGCCAUUGAACAAUUUUUGAUUUGCGUACAUCUACGUUUUUGUAAGAUUUUUUUUAUUGUACACGUCGCAGACGUAUAUAAAGACGAUGCAAUUAUCGCCAUCACAGAAGGUGGAAUGAUUUUUUUUGGGUGAAAAUCAUUACUGCGGGCAUUUUUUGUUCUAUCCUUUUCUCUCUUUUUUUAACUUGCAUAUAAUACGAAAAAUAGCUAACGAGCAGAGCGACAGACGCAUAUGCGUCGGUAGUAGGCCGAAAAUCUAUAAUCUUAUAGUCAUCUCGCUCAGCCAAGGUCAAUACCUAUACGAUGCGUGUGCGAGCGUGCGCGCUUCGGUGCGUAUGUGUGUGUGCGUGUGCGUGUGUGUGAGUUUGUUGGUACAUGUGUGCGUGAACAAAUCAAUAAAGUUUACCAUUGUGUCAGAAAAGAGAGGCCGUGCGCUGAAUAUACUCGAAAAAAUCGUUUGCGCGCCUCUACACGUGUGUGAGUGUGUGUAAAAAAGACGUGUGUACUUUGUCAAAAGUACUUUUACCUACGUGAACGAUGCUACUCUGCGGAAUCAAUCGUUGAAAUUGCGAGAUGCUAAUGAAAUAUAGAUAUGCAUUAUAUUACGCUACAUCGAAGUCCUAUGUGCGAAAGAAACACACACACACACAACUUUUUAAUCGACAAUAAUCUCUGCGAAAAAAAUCAUAUGAAUUUUUGUAAAUUCUUAAAUUUACUCGAGAAUAGUUACACUAUGAAAGUAAAUUAAAAUAAGUAUAUUGCUGUAUUAAUGGAUGUUUUAACGAAUUAAAAAGAGGCGCGAAUGCAUUCAGAAUUGAGAUGCUUUGCAUCAGGGCAGACCCGCGGGCGAGUACUUGUUAAAAUUGUGUUUGCGUAAUGUAAUCGAAAAUUGAUACUUAUACAUGGAUUCGAGCUUGCAAAAGAAAGUAAAAAAAACGUAGUGAACGCGGAAAUUUUUCGAGAUUCUUAUUGCGCACAAAAUGUAAAUAUGUUUAAAUCAAAAAAUGCUCGAAGAUUGAUGCCGUAAAAUAGCGUACGUACUUGUAUGACUGGAUCAAAUGAUGGAUGCGAUGCAACGCAUUCUUCAAUAUCAACUAUUACGCGCGCACAUACACGUAAAUGUUUUAUUAACUAAUUUAUGCUAUAAGGGUUGUUAUACGAUGACAAUAAAAGGUUUCAUGGCGAAAGCACGGAGUAGUCAAAUUUUGCGCUUGCUUUGGUAUAACCGGAAAUCCGAAUCAUUACGAUAUCCGUUUAGGACACGCACACGCGCAUAGCAUAAAAUGAAAUAGGAAAAUGCAUACGAUAUACAUACAUACUUAUACAUACAAAUAAUUGUGAUCGCGGGAAACGCAGAGGAAAAAAGAGGGGCGUUCGCUAUAAACGAUGAUUACCCGUCAUCGUCAAUGAUAAUUCAAUAAUCAAGGCAAGUUAAAUCUGGCUAUUACCCGGUGAGGCAACGUUAAGCACUUAUUUAUAGGGAAAAAUGUUCCCUGCAAUCGGUAGACAAUCAUCAUUUUACCCUAGAAAAUAAAUUAUACGUAUCACACAGACAUAUAUACAGACACACGUACACAUACACGUGUACACACUCAUAUUUAAACUUAGCAUUUAUUAUAAGCUUAUACACAACGUAGUGAAUUAAAACGAGCCAUACAUAAUAUUUAUCGAUUAGGCCCUGAAGAAAAGAUAUAAACGAGACGGACACACAAGACAACAUUUACACACAUACACACACACGUAUAUAUUUAUUAUUAUUGAAAUGAGUGCGUACACAACGAAGACUACCCCAAAAAAGCCAAAAAAAAGCUCUCGUGCGCACACGUCUGCGAUAAGUAGAAAGUAUAAUCUUAAUGUAGCAUCAAAAAAAUGUAACAAAAUUAUAUAAGACUUUGUCAAUUCUCAAUGAUUGUGACUGAAUUUCAAAUUACAUCAAUGGUAGUAGACGUCUCUAUUAUUAAAAAAAAAAAAAAAGCUGCGAGCGCCUUUUCACUAUCUUAAUAUAUUCAUAGCAAUCAAUUAAAAAACGACGUACGAGCUUUCACGUAGAUUUUAGAGAGCCUCUGCCAGUGUAUGUAAUAAUAAAUAUAUCGACGGUGCGCGACGAAGGAAAGUAAAAGACGUUUGUGGCGAUCUCGACAAGGGGCUGCGUAUUAUAUAGACACGAGCCACGGCGUGCAAAAUCAAUGUAUAUAAUGUAUGUGUAUGUGUGGGUACGGAGUAGCACAGCCCCUCUCGUCGCGUUGAAGACUCGAAAGAGACUUUUGUAAGUUUUCCGUCGCAAGCGCGCGCAAUAUUUGACUUGUGCGCGAGCACUUACAUCAUUUAUUAAUAACACACACAUGAUGUCUGUAGCAAAGCUUAAACGGCUGUGAAUGAAAACGAUUUCAACGAAGGCCCUAAACAAAAAAAAAAAAAAAAAAA